GUGGGGAAUAUUGGGCAAUGGGGGCAACCCUGACCCAGCGACGCCGCGUGGGUGAAGAAAUCCCUCGGGAUGUAAAGCCCUGUUGUAUGGGAAGAGCAGAAGACGGUACCAUACGAGGAAGCCCCGGCAAACUACGUGCCAGCAGCCGCGGUAAUACGUAGGGGGCAAGCGUUGUCCGGAAUUACUGGGCGUAAAGCGCACGCAGGCUGAAUUAUAAGUCGGUAGUCAAAUACGGAGGCUCAACUUCCGGAUAUCUAUCGAUACUGUAAAUCUAGAGUAUGUGAGAGGGAAGCGGAAUUCCCGGUGUAGCGGUGAAAUGCGUAGAUAUUAGGAGGAACACCAGUGGCGAAGGCGACUUUCUGGACUGUAACUGACGCUGAGGCUCGAAAGCCAGGGGAGCGAACGGGAUUAGAAACCCCUGUAGUCC
rnacentral:rRNA from 1 species